rnacentral:rRNA from 1 species
GACGAACGCUGGCGGCGUGCUUAACACAUGCAAGUCGAACGGUGAACCUCUUCGGAGGGGAUCAGUGGCGAACGGGUGAGUAACACGUGGGCAACCUGCCCCCGGCUCUGGGAUAACUCCAAGAAAUUGGGGCUAAUACCGGAUGUUCACCGCUUCCCGCAUGGGUGGUGGUGGAAAGGGUUUCCGGCUGGGGAUGGGCCCGCGGCCUAUCAGCUUGUUGGUGGGGUAGUGGCCUACCAAGGCGACGACGGGUAGCCGGCCUGAGAGGGUGACCGGCCACACUGGGACUGAGACACGGCGCAGACUCCUAUGGGAGGCAGCAGUGGGGAAUAUUGCGGAAUGGGCGGAAGCGUGACGCAGCGGCGCCGGGUGGGGGAUGACGGCUUUCGGGUUGUAAACCUCUUUCAGCAGGGACGAAGCGCAAGUGACGGUACCUGCAGAAGAAGCACCGGCCAACUACGUG